GACGAACGCUGGCGGCGUGCUUAACACAUGCAAGUCGAACGGAAAGGCCCUGCUUUUGUGGGGUGCUCGAGUGGCGAACGGGUGAGUAACACGUGAGUAACCUGCCCUUGACUUUGGGAUAACUUCAGGAAACUGGGGCUAAUACCGGAUAGGAGCUCCUGCUGCAUGGUGGGGGUUGGAAAGUUUCGGCGGUUGGGGAUGGACUCGCGGCUCAUCAGCUUGUUGGUGGGGUAGUGGCUUACCAAGGCUUUGACGGGUAGCCGGCCUGAGAGGGUGACCGGCCACAUUGGGACUGAGAUACGGCCCAGACUCCUACGGGAGGCAGCAGUGGGGAAUAUUGCACAAUGGGCGGAAGCCUGAUGCAGCAACGCCGCGUGCGGGAUGACGGCCUCCGGGUUGUAAACCGCUUUCGCCUGUGACGAAGCGUGAGUGACGGUAAUGGGUAAAGAAGCACCGGCUAACUACGUG
rnacentral:rRNA from 1 species